rnacentral:rRNA from 1 species
ACGGUCCUAAGGUAGCGAAAUUCCUUGUCGGGUAAGUUCCGACCUGCACGAAUGGCGUAAUGAUGGCCAGGCUGUCUCCACCCGAGACUCAGUGAAAUUGAACUCGCUGUGAAGAUGCAGUGUACCCGCGGCAAGACGGAAAGACCCCGUGAACCUUUACUAUAGCUUGACACUGAACAUUGAGCCUUGAUGUGUAGGAUAGGUGGGAGGCUUUGAAGCGUGGACGCCAGUCUGCGUGGAGCCAACCUUGAAAUACCACCCUUUAAUGUUUGAUGUUCUAACGUUGGCCCCUUACCGGGGUUGCGGACAGUGUCUGGUGGGUAGUUUGACUGGGGCGGUCUCCUCCCAAAGCGUAACGGAGGAGCACGAAGGUUAGCUAAUCCUGGUCGGACAUCAGGAGGUUAGUGCAAUGGCAUAAGCUAGCUUGACUGCGAGCGUGACGGCGCGAGCAGGUGCGAAAGCAGGUCAUAGUGAUCCGGUGGUUCUGAAUGGAAGGGCCAUCGCUCAACGGAUAAAAGGUACUCCGGGGAUAACAGGCUGAUACCGCCCAAGAGUUCAUAUCGACGGCGGUGUUUGGCACCUCGAUGUCGGCUCAUCACAUCCUGGGGCUGAAGUAGGUCCCAAGGGUAUGGCUGUUCGCCAUUUAAAGUGGUACGCGAGCUGGGUUUAGAACGUCGUGAGACAGUUCGGUCCCUAUCUGCCGUGGGCGCUGGAGAAUUGAGGGGGGCUGCUCCUAGUACGAGAGGACCGGAGUGGACGCAUCACUGGUGUUCGGGUUGUCAUGCCAAUGGCACUGCCCGGUAGCUAAAUGCGGAAGAGAUAAGUGCUGAAAGCAUCUAAGCACGAAACUUGCCCCGAGAUGAGUUCUCCCUGAGACUUUAAGUCUCCUGAAGGAACGUUGAAGACGACGACGUUGAUAGGCCGGGUGUGUAAGCGCAGCGAUGCGUUGAGCUAACCGGUACUAAUGAACCGUGAGGCUUAACCUU